CUCCCGGGCCUGGAGCCUCGGUGGGGCUGGGUGGGGGGCUGCGCCUCCCCGACACCAAGCCCCCCCUGGGACCUCCCUGGGGGGAAGGGGCCGGGUGUUCGCAGCCAGACUUCAGCGUCCUCGCGUGCAGAUCCCUGCGUGGUCCAGGGCCUGGCUUUUCCGCGGAGGGUGACGCUUCCCUCAGACCCUCAGGGGACAGUGGCGGGUUCCCCAGCCCAAGUGCCCCCAACUCCCAGGCGGACUGGAAGGGGCUCCUCGGGUCUCACUAUGUAGCCCAAGCUGACCUCGAACUCGCGGCGAUCCUCCUGCCUCAGCCUCCCGAGUACUGGGGCUACAGCCAUGCACCACCGCAUCCCGCUCCUCCCUCCAUUUUAAAUUCUAACCGGCCCCCUUUCAAACUCAUCCCACCAUCCACAACCCUGCUUCCUAUGGCCUGGGUCCCUACUCCCCUCUACUCCGAAUAGCUCCCUGACCCCAAUAACCUGGGCAAAGGAAAGAGACUCCCAGAACUGCUUCAGAAAGUGGCAAGGAGGGGCAGGUUUUGAGGGGGACUCAUAGCAAUGCCUUUUACUGUAAUAAAAAUGUUUCAUUUUAAACAUUCUCUGUGUAUUUCCACACUGUGACAUGCAUACGCGCACACACACACACACACACACACGUGUAGUGUAUAAUUAUCUAUUCAUCUAGUUUAUUUGGCUCCUUAAACCAGGAAUUCUGAAUCUCGGCUACAGACCUAACACUACACUCAGCAAGAGCUUCAGGC
rnacentral:lncRNA from 1 species